ensembl:lncRNA
AGCAGUGUGUGCUGCUUGCCCCAGAGCCUUCCCUCUGUUGGCCGGAGCAGCUGAGCUUGGAAGAAAGGCGUGACACAGGACUGGGGCUUGAGCUGGAGUGUGAAACACCCUCACCGGCCUUAAGCUGUCCCAAGACAAAUGUGUGCAUGGACAAAGUAGUUCAUUGUGAAUGGCGCAUUGCUACAGUAAGGAAGUGAAGGACGACAUCAGACCAACUGAUCUGUUCUGCUGCAUCUCCUGGCCACUGAACUCCCACUGUCUGCACCAAGUACAGGACCAGCUGCUGUGCUACCUCAUCAGACUGCAGCAGACAGCAAACAAGGAAGUGGGCAAAUUUGCCAUUUAUAUGGAUAGCUUUGCAAGGCAACCUAGCUCCUUCAAAAAGAGUUCAUGAAUGUGUGCAUCACAGACCACAAACCUGUAAAAUGAUACCCAGAUCUGACUAAAUGAAAGUCUUCACUUGCCUACUUCUUCCAUUUGAAAACUAGAAUAUAAAAAAAAAAAACCCAUCUGUGUUUCUAAUAAAAUUCUGGAACAACUUCAGUGAUGAUCUGAAGAUCCGUAUGGAUCUUAUUAUAUUCCUCCUGCUUGCCAUAGGACUCUGGGAAUUGAGGUCCUCCAGGAGGCAAAGAGAAGGGAGAAGGGAGUUUUCAGAAUGUGAGAAAGAAAGAACUUGGACAAAUAGAGGACUCCAAUCAUUUUUAUCUCCUUCAAUCUAUAUUAUGUUAGAGCUGCUGUUUUAUGAAUGUUUCAGCUGCCUCAGAAAUAGAGUCUAAGUUAUGAGCUACUUGUAUUCUUAAUGAUAUCUUGUGUAUAAGGCUUGCUAAAGAUGCUUCACCUGAGAUGAAGAUUCACAGGAUUUUGGAAAGGUCUUUAGCCCUGUCUUGUCUCCUACCUGUGAAGGUUAGUAUCAGGCUACCACAACGUACUAAGGGAAAGCAGAAUCUGCUUCCUUGCUUGUCAUUGGAGCUAACCUUUUUCCUCUUUCCUUUUCCCUUUCCUUUCUUUUUCCACAAACACAGCUUUUGCACAAAUGCAGAGAUUUUUCUUGCUUUCAUCCUGCAGCAGUGGUACUUUGUGGACAAGCCAGUCUCUGGUGACGGAGAUCACAGGUGGAGUGCUGCUGCAGUGGCUCCUGAAAACUUCAUCUUUCUUUGGAGCCUGCUUCACUUCUGGAUGUGAAUCAGAACUCUACCAUUUUCAUCAAUGAAUUGGAGGCAAGGUGAUGAAAAAGGCAAGAGCUGCAUUUGAAUGAGAGAUUGAUCACAGAGACUGAAAGUGACAGCCCUAUCACAUUUGUUUGUGGACUUUGGAGACAGACAGAAAGGAUGAGCAAUUGACAAGGAGGAUAUCAAAAGAAAGAAGUAUGUUGGCAUGAAAACCUGGUACCAAAAGGACAUUUACAUUCCCUGACUGGCAGAGAUGCGAAAUACAUUGCAGAUCAUUCAACUAAUUAAGAAGCGGUUCAUUUUCUUUUAAGUCCAGUAAGUGGGAGAAUAAUGCAAGCUCACCUGGUCUCUUCCUCACCUUCUGCAGCAGGAAUGGUGCUAUCCCCCCAAACAUGGAAAAGAAAACUAUGAAAGACAUGCCGUGUUGGAGUUUUCUUCUAAAUGCUUAACUUCAGAAUUUUGCUUAUCUGCUACUGAAGUGCUAAUUCACUGGGAACUCUCCAUAGUAGUAUCAGUCUUAUGUAUUUACCUAUGAAGUUCUUCUAACAGAUGAAUUGUUUACUCAUAAACCUUCAAUUUCCAAUUCACUUAUUUAAAGUGAGAUUCUUCUUACAGAAUAAAUUCUGGAUCAUGGCUUUAAUUUAAUUUAUUCCUAAGUAACACAGAGCAGAACUUCAUUUUAUAGAGGAUGGAAAAAAAUAUUAUACUGCAUUUCCAUCUACAAAUUUUACUUUGUAUUAUUACAACAGUUUAGGAACUUAUGAUAUAUACAGUUUAAUAUUUUCUAUAUUAAAGCAAUCUCACAUAAAAUAACCAUUGUUACUGUUUAUUUUCUUACUUCUUACAGUGAUUUCUAUUCCAAAAUUAAUGAAGAGGAACUUUGGGUUUUGGUUUGUUGGUUACUUUUUGUUUGUUUGGGUUUUAAGUUGAAUUGUGUAUAUUUAAUAAAUGAGCAUCUUCUCUUGUCACAUUCUUGGUUUUUUUAAAACCACUAUUUUGGUAUACAAUCCCGAUCCCAAAAAUUUAUGUUACAUUAACAUGGAUUGUAUUUAGUGGAAAUAAAAGAUGUGAAUCCAAAAUCUUGAUGUAUUUGACAACAUUUUUUGUGUCUUCUUGUAUGAAUGUGUAUAUUGUUAUAGAUUGUUCUUCAUCUUCCCGUAAGGGAUAAACCAGAAGCAAUUAUAAUUUAAUAGCAUUCUGUAUGCUAAGAAUAUGUGGUGACACAUAAUGGAGUCCAAUAUACCUAUCUGAUUACAAGUUGCUCUUUAGACAUAGGACAAAUAACUACAAGAUGG